GUGUUGUACGAGAGGAGAGAAGGUUAGCACUGCCCUUGACAAGGAUGGAAGAGGCCCUCUGGCCUAACCGCACGCCUACGGUCAAGGCAUUGCCACCUACCUCAUGGCAUCUAACCACUGUUUUUA
ensembl:snRNA